CAAAGGUUUGAUCCUGGCCUUACUGUUAGUUG
rnacentral:tRNA from 1 species